CAAAGAGAUCUACAACUAGUUUGUAUUCAUUUGGAAUUUUCAGUACCCAUUUUCCAAGAUAGACAAGAGAUUCACAAAUUUUCCGUCUCUGAAAAUGCUCCUGUUUCUGCCUUGAAGGGCUGUAUCAUAUCUAGCCUGUAAGAAACAAGAGAGGUCUGUGAAGAACAGCUUGGGGAAAAAAAAGCUUUGUCCCUCAAAACUGAUGUUAGUGCUUCAUAAGCCAGAAACAAUGGGAAAGAGGCACCUCACCGAUACCAAGAUGUAUGAUGUUGCUGUUCAGUUGAAAGGUUCGCAGGAGGUGGAAGUAGAGAAGAGAAAGAAAGAGAACUCCUUGAACUUGAAAACAGACCAUCAAUGGUUGCCUCUAGGGCUUUAGAUUGAGAUGUUAUCAUGGACUGAACUGUGUCCCUGCAAAAUUCAUACGUUGAAGCCCCAGCUCCCAGUGUGGCUGUAGUUGGAGAUAAGACUUUUUUAAGGAGGUAAUCAAGCUUAAAUGAAGUCAUAAAGGUGGAGCUCUAAUCCAACAGGGUCGAUGCCCUCAUAAGAAGAGGAAGAGACAUCAAGAGUGCACAUGCACAGAGAAAAGGCCAUGUGAAGUCACAAGAAGAUGGCUGUCUGCAGGCAAAGGGGAGAGGCCUCACCAGAGACUAAUCCUGCCAGCACCAUAAUCUUCAACUUCCAGUCUCCAGAACUUUAAGAAAAUAAAUUUAUGUUGUUUGAGCCCAUCAAUCUUGUACUUUGUUGUAGUAGCCUGAGCAGAGGAAUUCAUCUGGAUUGACUUCUUGUUGGUCUGGUGUUUAUUGUAUUCUGCCUGAAAUGGGUUGCAGACUUACCAAAUGUGACAGAUCUUGUACCAUGUACAUGUACACAGCUAAGUGUUCUUGAGAGGGCACUUUCUAAAAGACUUUAUACUCAGCUUAUUAGAGAGGAU
rnacentral:lncRNA from 1 species